rnacentral:rRNA from 1 species
CCUACGGGAGGCAGCAGUGGGGGAUAUUGCACAAUGGGGGAAACCCUGAUGCAGCGACGCCGCGUGUGGGAAGACGGUCCUCUGGAUUGUAAACCACUGUCCCCAGGGACGAAGAUGACGGUACCUGGGGAGGAAGCUCCGGCUAACUCCGUGCCAGCAGCCGCGGUAAUACGUAGGGAGCGAGCGUUGUCCGGAAUUACUGGGUGAAAAGGGAGCGUAGGCGGGACUGCAAGUUGGGUGUCAAAUCUACCGGCUCAACCGGUAGCCGCACUCAAAACUGCAGUUGUUGAGUGAAGUAGAGGCAGGCGGAAUUCCUAGUGUAGAGGUGAAAUGCGUAGAUAUUAGGAGGAACACCAGUGGCGAAGGCGGCCUGCUGGGCUUUUACUGACGCUGAGGCUCGAAAGUGUGGGGAGCAAACAGGAUUAGAUACCCUUGUAGUC